AAAGUGUCCAGCCCUGUGGAAGUGGAGGCAUAGGUAUUCAUGAGCCACUGAAUGUGUACUUGGAACAGCGUCCUCUGCAAGAGCAGCCCCUCGAAGGACUGCAGGUAAACACAUCUUCUUUAGCACCGAACUUACCACCAUAAAGCGGCUGAGGCACUGGGGAAGCCUACCUCACAUCGGAUGCCACCCCACCAGGAGGUGAUCACCAGUCAGAGCGAAUCUCAAUCAUGUCUGUUUGUGAUUAUGAUCCUGAGAGAAGGAAGACCAAAUUUGUCUGCUUCCCAUUUCCUUCUACGGCAGACAAGACGUAGAAGAUAUGUUGUGUUUUCUGAAGGUGACAAGAGAAUGAAGGCAGCUCACUGCCUUGAUACUUAAAUGUGGAUGAUCAAUGAGAAUCUCAAGGUAGAGUCCAAAAAAUUGUUUCAGCUGCUGAUUUUUUCCAUAUGAG
ensembl:lncRNA